rnacentral:rRNA from 1 species
GGUUGCAAUCAUACCGGCACUAAUGCACUGGACCCCACCAAAAUUCCGAAGUUAAGCAUGCUCGGGCGAGAAUGGUACUAAGACGAGCUUUGUCGCAGGACUUCCACAAAAAUACGCAAGAC